rnacentral:hammerhead_ribozyme from 1 species
AUCCAGCUGACGAGUCUUAGAUAGGACGAAACGCGUGUCGUGAGU